rnacentral:rRNA from 1 species
AGUAAUGUAUGGGGAUCUGCCUGAUGGCGGGGGAUAACUACUGGAAACGGUAGCUAAUACCGCAUAAUGUCUACGGACCAAAGCGGGGGACCUCCGGGCCUCGCGCCAUCAGAUGAACCCAUAUGGGAUUAGCUAGUAGGUGAGGUAACGGCUCACCUAGGCGACGAUCCCUAGCUGGUCUGAGAGGAUGACCAGCCACACUGGAACUGAGACACGGUCCAG